ACCCCUCUCUCGCUUUGUCGGGGAGAUUUCGAUUGGGGUUAGGGUUCAAGAAUCCUGGGAUAGAGGGGGUUCUCGGAAACCCGGAUCUGUGGGAUUAGAUGACGAAGGCCGUCCGUGGCCAGAGGGGCCGGCUCAGCGUGUCGCGGUCGAAGACGAUGGGCGAGACGGUGAAUGGGUAGCACCGGUACACCGUCAUCGGGUUCUAGCUGACGAAGGGGAUGGGCCCGGGUAAGUACGUGUCCAGCGACACCUUCGCGUGGGAGGUUACCAGUGAGCGGUCUACUUCUACCCCGGCGGGAAGAGCCGCAAGGACAACUCCCGCUACGUGUCCGUGUUCAUCGCCCUGGCCAGCGAGGGGGCCAACGUGCGGUCGGUCUUCGAGAUCACCAUGAUCGAUCAGAGCGGCAAGGGCCGCCACAAGGUGCACAGUCAUUUCAAGCGGUCGUUGGAGGGUGGGCGGAGAAUGUGGGGUUACAAGCGAUUUUACAGAAGAACAGCCUUGGAAUCAUCAGAGUACCUCAAUGAUGAUUGUCUGAUAAUGCAUUGUACAGUGGGUGUUGUUAGAAACCGUACUGAAUCACCAAACCAGUUUUCUGUUAAUGUACCAUCAUCAGACUUGGGUCAGUGUCUAAAGGAGCUGUUGAAAUCUGGCAUUGGUUCUGGCAUAAUUUUUUAGGUUGGUGAUGAGACAUUUCAAGCACACAAGCAGAUUCUCGCUGCUCGUUCUCCAGUAUUUAAUGCCCAAUUUUUUGGCCUUAUUGGGAAUCCUAAUGUGGAUAGAGUAGUUGUAGAGGAUGUGGAACCUCCUGUUUUCAAGGUAAUACAUAGAAGCUUCCAAGUUUGCUCCCUGUAUCAUUUAUUCAGAAGCAUUUAAUAGCACAUUGUGUUUAAAGAGGAAUAUGACACUUGUGCUCUUAGAAGUUGUGGUACUUUCAAAUAAACAUCUGGAUCAUAAUAGUCUUUUUUUCUGAAUUGGAUAGUGGAAUGCCACAUUGAAUUGAUUCCUUCAUGUAACUACAUAUUUAGUUAAAAGGAAACGAAAAUGCAACCAUUACUACCACUUCAUCUGCAUACUUAAGAUUCUUUUAUAUGCUUCUCUUUUACAAAGAGAAAUAACCUCUCCUUUUUGGGAUGUGAUUCACAUUGCAGAAGAUUUUGAGAUUAUCUUGGUCUGUAAUCCCUUUGGCCUUUGCUCUUUUUGUUUUGGAAAGUACUUUUGUUUGCACUAAUUCGUUUUAUAUAAUUUAGUGACCAAUAUAAUUACUGUGCCUGUAUUGACUGUUCUUGGAGCAUAUGAUAAUUGUGACUCCUACUUCUUUCGGAAUCUUGUUUCAAUAUGUUUAAAAGUUCAAUAAUUCUUGCUGAGUUCUGUCAAUUAGGCUUAGUUGCGCUCAAUGGCUAUAUUUAUAGUGCUUUAGCUUUCUGAGCAUGCGCAAGGUCAGCCUUUGGAUACAAAUUGUGUACUACGUUAAUGUUUUUUUUCAAUUUCAUAGCCUUCUACAUCCCAAGAAUUGAUUAACAUUUACAUGCUAUGGAUUGUUCUUGAUAUCUGAUUAUGGAUGACCUAGCUCAAUUUCCAUUGCCUAAAUUGAUAGCAUACUUCAAAUUGAAAAAGAAAUGCAUAGUUUUGGACAUUGUUGUCGAAAAAUCUUGUAACAGAGAAGUAGCAUGUUGUAACAAAUUAUUGUGAAAGAAUAAGGUAUGAACUUAUGUUCCUAACAAAUUCUUUCUUCUCAUUUACCAAAGAAAAAUAUACUAUUGAUAGGGGCAAUAUUCAUUGCACUAUGAGACUUGACAUAUGGAUGCCAGUCUAUAAAGAAAAACAAUAAAAUAGGUGGAUUGGAUCAGCCAUGUAGCAUGAACCAAAAUAAUAAGGUAUGUUCUUAAUCACAAGCGAUGAGGGAUCCCAUGCUUCUGACGUGAUGUAUGUUCUUUCCUUUCACGUCGGAUAUUUAUUCGUAUUGAGUAUUGAUUAACUUGUGCAUUGGAUGGUUCUCUGCGGGAAUGCUUCCAACAGCUCUUUUCUCUUGCAGGAGGAAGCAUAGAGGUUUGGUUCAAACUAGAGGUUUCAUUAUUGACCCUAUAUUCUCAAGUUCAUGCCACUGGAUGGUUCUUAAAGUGUGCUAAGUUUUGAAACUGGAGCUAGAUUGGGUUGUCUUUGAAAUUCAAAUUGACGAUUAACUUUUGGACUAACAUUUUUGGUGAUGGGACCCAAAAUGUUGCGGGAGAAAGUUGUCCUCCUGAAUAGUCCUUGGCCUUGUUGUCCUUGAGCACUAGCCUGCUGUAUUAUGACUAUCGGAUCAAAACUGCCUUUCCUUGCCUUGGUGGAUAUCUGGAUUGGCUCAAACUCCAUGCAGUCGAAACCCAAGGUGUGUUUAGGUACUUGUUGAGACUUUCUUUGGAUUAACUCAGUAGGUGCUGGCCCUCAUGGGAAAUGCUGCCGAUAGACAUUCCCUUUCUUUUGUAGAUAGUCCAUGAUGCCCCACCUUGCAUGGAUCUAAGGUGCAAUUGGCAGAUGCAAUAAACUGCAAGUUGCAUGUCCAACUUCUGCAAGUUCCUUACUCUGCUGCAGGCCAUGCUUAUUUUUAUAUACUCGGACAAGCUUCCUGAUGUUCAUGAGUUGACUAGUUCAUUUUCAAUGUACACAUUCACGACAGUGAUACAACAUUUAUUUCUUGCAGCUGAUAGAUAUGGUUUGGAAUGAGAUAAGAAUGACAAGCAUUUCUAAUUUUCCAAAGUUUGUACACCCAUC